rnacentral:rRNA from 1 species
UACGGAGGGUGCGAGCGUUGUUCGGAAUCACUGGGCGUAAAGGGCGUGUAGGCGGUCCGCUAGGUCUGAUGUGAAAGCCCGGGGCUCACCCCCCGGAAGUGCAUUGGAAACUGGCGGACUCGAGUCCGGCAGAGGAGAGUGGAAUUCCGUGGAUGUAGCGGUGAAAUGCGUAGAUAUCAGGAGGAACACCGGUGGCGAAGGCGGCUCUCGUGGACGGUGACUGACGCUGAGACGCGAAAGCGUGGGGAGCAAACAGG